rnacentral:rRNA from 1 species
GACGAACGCUGGCGGCGUGCUUAACACAUGCAAGUCGAACGAAGUGGCGCACGGGUGAGUAACGCGUAAUCAACCUGCCCUUCAGUGGAGGACAACAGGUCGAAACGACUGCUAAUACCGCAUACAGUAGGAGGGGAUUGCGUCUGCUUAGCAAGUUGGAGGGGUAACGGCCCACCAAGGCGAUGAUCACUAGGCGGUCCUAGGGGGUUGACGGCCAAAAUGGGAAUGAGAAACGGCCCAGACCCCUACGGGAGGCAUCAGGGGGGAAUCUUCCGACAUGGACGAAAGUCUGGCGGAGCAAAUCCGCGUGGGUGGUGGCGGCCUUUGGGUUGGUAAAGUCUGUUAAUCGGGGCGCGGUACCGGAAUAGAAAGCACCGGCUAACUCCGUGCCAGCAGCCGCGGUAAUAC